GGCUGCCAGGCUUUCGCUGCUCCCCUGUCAAGUUCCCAUCCGCAGGAGGCACGCUCGCUUUUGGAGUUGGGUGCAGAAGUGGGUUCCUUACUCUCAGCCGCUUGGGAGGCCCAGCUGUAGAAUGAAGGGACAGGAUGUGACUAAAUACAGAAGCAUGGAGGCCAUUUGAGCGCUGCAUCAAAAGGGGAGCUUGUGUCUUGCAUGCUGUCAGUUGGUGAUAUUAGAAGUGGUGCAGGAAUGGGGAAAAGGUGAGAAGCUUUACAAUGUCCGCUGAGUCCAUUAACCUAUUCACUUAUUUUCAUUGUCUCCAUUCCCCUUGGAGACCCAGUGCCCAGUGUUUGUUGUUAUGCUCACUUGCUUUUUACUAUUUUCUCUUUCGCUGUUAUUCUGCUGCCAUCCAUUUUUAAUUCACUGUGAAUGAACUUUAGACACGAAGCUAGAGCUGCAGAGCACUGUUUGAAAGACUGUGUGGUCUGCUCCAAGGCCAAGCAUUCCUCCCAGUUGCAGCUGUACUGAGAACACUGGAACUUGAGCACGUCCUAAGAGACCAGGUUGUUGUUUUAUGGUCUGGUUUUCUACACACUUCUCCCUAUGGCCCAGGCUUGUCUUCACACCACACCUUUAACUUCAGUGGUCUGCUCCCUCCUCUAAGGCUGCCCCAGCUCAGCCUAACCUGGCCUCUUCAUCUCAUACCUCAGAGAAUUUUCAUUUCGAAUCAUAGGGCAUCUAGAAUAUCUCAGAUGGAGCCCUCUAAAGAGAGUAGACUUGCAUAACAAGUCUAGGAACCUGCAUGUCUCAGGAGCAUCUGUCUCAGAGAGACCAGGCAGUGGGUGCUGUAGUUUCAUCAUGUGAAAAAACUCUGACCAAAAGCAACUUAGGGAAGGAAAGGUUUACUUCCACUCUCACUUCCUGGUGAGGAAACUCAGGGCAUGAUCUCAGACAGGAGCUUGGAGCAGAAACUGAAGGAAUGAAGGAACGCUGUUUGCUGACUCUCAGACUGCACUAAGUUAGUUUUCUGACACCGUUCGGAAUCACCUGCUCUGCAGUGGAGCUGCCUUCAGUGGGCUGAGCCCUCCUGUACCAAUUAGCAAUGGAGACAGCUUAUAACCCCGUCUGUUAGUCUCUUCUCAAGUGAGUCUGUGUCGUGUCCAGUUGAGUUUUAACCAGCAGCAUCUGUAAACAAAUACCCCAUGAUAGGGUAGACAGGGUGGCGCUGUCUCAAAAGUGAUUGUCUAGAGAAUGAAUGUCCUGAAAUUUUGCUAACAAAUCCAGGCAUUGGGAACUGAAGUAUUUUAGUGCAUUUCAUGAUCAUAUUAACAUAUAUAACAGUAAUGAAGAUAAAACUGCCAAUGUGAUCAUUUUAUGGAGACUUAAAAAUCCAUCUGUAAAAAUAAAAACUGAUGUAAUUGCACAGAUUUAGAUGAACUUCUUACUGGUUUAAAAUUCAUAGUACUACACCACAAUAUUACAUUCAAUAAAAUUAUUAUUAUUAAAUGCCUUGUGCAUACCUAGGUUAUGGCAGCAAUGAUAUUUGAAAAUGUAUAAUUAUAAUUUAUUGUCAUGUUUUGUUAUCUAUCAUAAUUUCUAGUGGUUAUAUUGUAUACAGACAUGUAGCUAGAGUUUUUCUGCCUGGCCCACAGUCAGGACAAAUCUCUCUCACCCGCCAGUCCCAAGCCGCUCAAACCCGAUCAAGUAAACACAGACAUUUAUAUUGGUUACAAACUGUAUGGCCGUGGCAGGCUUCUUGCUAACUGUUCUUACAGCUUAAAUUAAUCCAUUUCUAUUAAUCUAUACCUUGCCACGUGACUUGUGGCUUACUGGUACUUUACAUCUUCCUUGUCCUGAUGGCGGCUGGCAGUGUCUCCCCUCCCAGCUUUCUGUUCUCUCAAUUUUUCUCUCUGUUAGUCCCGCCUAUACUUCCUGCCUGGCCACUGCCAAUCAGUGAUUUAUUCAUUGUCCAAUCAGCAACACAUUUGACAUACAGACCAUCCCACAGCACAGACAUUCAUGAGUUUAUAGUUAACUAAUAGGUAGGUGCUUUCUAAAUUUGUCUCCAAGUUUCCUAUCAAACCUUAAUGUUCAUGUAGCAGAGUUUUCUGUUCAUAAUUUUCCCAAACUGGUAGGAACAUUGGUGUGGACUUGGUAUUAAAUCCUGCUAAGAAUUAUAAGCCAUAUCCUUACCUAAAAUUUAUGUUUGAAGUCACUGUAAUUUGAAAUGUCAGAAUCAUUUCUGCCAUUGAUUUAGGAGCUCUCUCUUGCCUCCCCAUUUCUCUGCUGUGUUGUCUGGAUUUAUAUUGAAGCAUUUGGCUUCUGCUUUAUCUCUAAUUCAGCCAGGCUCCGGGAGUUGCACAGUAAAACCAGCUGGCACAGAGUUGAGCCUGCAUCAGCAUAUUGAUGCUGUGAUACCACAAUGUUUCUCCGUCUUACUAAACUGCCUCACACAGGCAUUAAACAGGUGUGGUGACAAAAGAGAGCUGACAGUUAUCAUCCCAGAGUGGAUGAACGGUUGCCCAUUUGAAGAGAAAAUGUCCAGCAGUAAGGUGGUGCAUUAUCAUAGUGACAAAACCCAAAUCAAUAGAUCCCAACUGUCAAUAGUAAGUAAGAAUGAUUGCGGCUUUCUGCUGGUGGUUUAUGAUGAAGGGUUUAGACCAGAACACUCUGGGCUCUAAACAUAAUUAAAACAGAACUCACUAUUAUGGAGAUGCUUAGGAAAGACCCAAAACAGCUGCCCACUCCUGAUAUGAAGAAUAGCUAGAUAAUCAUUUAAAAUUUAAUUGACUUCUCAUUGAAGAAAAUAUAUAGAGAAAAACUCCUACCUUCUAUUUAUAUGUUUGAAUGAAUUUUUCAUACCCCUGAUAUCAUGUGACCUUUUCAAGAUCAAUGAAUGGCAUAUCACUACUACCCUUGUCUAUGAGCACACCUCACUUUGCAUAUCUAACCACUAACCUGAGUUCUCACAUAAUAAAUUUACUUUUUCUUUUUUUUGAGCCACAAUUCUGUGCUAUUUUUAAAGUGGUUUAAGGUGGGAGGUAUAUUAUAUUACCAACCACACCUGUAGUGGGUAGCCAUUCCAGCUUUGGUCUGGAAGUUCCAACCCCCACUGAGGCUUCGGUAACUAUCACGCUUACAAGGCGGGGCCAAGGGAGGGCCCUGAAGACCUGAGAUUGGGACACACCACUCUCUCUGUUCCUGGACCCUGGACGGUGGAGGUUGACCCAGCAGAGCUCCAGAGAACACCGCUGGACUGCGAUACGACUUCCCCAGACCCUGUGACCUACCUAUCCCUUCAUUUGUAAGUUGCGCCACUAAUAAACUUUCCUUUUAACUACA